rnacentral:rRNA from 1 species
AGAGUUUCUUCCUGGCUCAGGAUGAACGCUAGCGACAGGCUUAACACAUGCAAGUCGAGGGGCAGCACGGAGGGAGCAAUCCUUUUGGUGGCGACCGGCGGACGGGUGAGUAACACGUAUGUAACCUACCUGUUACAGGGGGAUAACCCGGAGAAAUCCGGACUAAUACCGCAUACGUUCUUUAAGACAAAAGUUUUAGAGAAGAAAGUAGCAAUACGGUAACAGAUGGACAUGCGGUCCAUUAGUUAGUUGGCGGGGUAACGGCCCACCAAGGCGACGAUGGAUAGGGGUUCUGAGAGGAAGGUCCCCCACAUUGGUACUGAGACACGGACCAAACUCCUACGGGAGGCAGCAGUGAGGAAUAUUGGUCAAUGGGCGCGAGCCUGAACCAGCCAAGUCGCGUGAGGGAAGACGGCCUUAUGGGUUGUAAACCUCUUUCAGAUGAGAGUAAAGGGUGCUACGUGUAGCACAUUGCAAGUAUCAUCAGAAGAAGCAUCGGCUAAUUCCGUGCCAGCAGCCGCGGUAAUACGGAAGAUGCGAGCGUUAUCCGGAUUUAUUGGGUUUAAAGGGUGCGUAGGCGGACCCGCAAGUCAGCGGUGAAAACGUGCGGCUUAACCGUGCGCUUGCCAUUGAAACUGCGGGACUGGAGUUCGGAAGAGGUAUGCGGAAUGCGUGGUGUAGCGGUGAAAUGCAUAGAUAUCACGCAGAACCCCGAUUGCGAAGGCAGCAUACCAUAGCGAGACUGACGCUGAAGCACGAAAGCGUGGGGAUCGAACAGGAUUAGAUACCCUGGUAGUCCACGCAGUAAACGAUGAAUACUAACCGUUUGCGAUAGAAUGUAAGCGGUCGAGCGAAAGCGUUAAGUAUUCCACCUGGGGAGUACGCCGGCAACGGUGAAACUCAAAGGAAUUGACGGGGGCCCGCACAAGCGGAGGAACAUGUGGUUUAAUUCGAUGAUACGCGAGGAACCUUACCCGGGCUCAAACGACAGAGGAAUACAGAUGAAAGUUUGUAGUCAGCAAUGACCGCUGUCGAGGUGCUGCAUGGUUGUCGUCAGCUCGUGCCGUGAGGUGUCGGCUUAAGUGCCAUAACGAGCGCAACCCUUAUCGAUAGUUACUAACAGGUCGAGCUGAGGACUCUAUCGAGACUGCCGGCGUAAGCCGCGAGGAAGGUAGGGAUGACGUCAAAUCAGCACGGCCCUUACGUCCGGGGCGACACACGUGUUACAAUGGCAGGGACAGAGAGGAGCCAGGCAGCGAUGCCGCGCCAAUCCCGAAACCCUGUCUCAGUUCGGAUUGGAGUCUGCAACCCGACUCCAUGAAGCUGGAUUCGCUAGUAAUCGCGCAUCAGCCAUGGCGCGGUGAAUACGUUACCGGGCCUUGCACUCACCGCCCGUCAAG